rnacentral:lncRNA from 1 species
CUUGUCAAGGCGAUAAUCUUGUGACUCACUGUCACGAGGGAGGCUUCUCUUUCAAGCCAGCCACAAUCGUAAUCCACUCACUCCUGGGUCUGUGCUUGCUCCUGCAGACGGGAGGGCACCUCCUGGCUUUGUUGGUACCUUCAGGAGCACAUCAGAAACUACUGGAUUCAAAUGAGGGUAGUGAGUGUGGUCCCACAAGGAAUUUCAUUAAUACAGCUGGGAGAAGGCAGUGGAUUGCUGUGCUGGCACUGGAGUGACUCCUCCAGGCAGAAGAGUCCCUCCUGGCAGCGGGAAAAGAUGUCUGGAGCCAGGAUUGCACCAGGGCAGUGUGCUGCAGAAUUGCACCCUCCAAAAUGCAGAACUGUGACUCCCCUACCUGGACCAAAACUACACACAGGUGUCCCAGGCUCUCCAGUAGCUAUUCUGUCUCCUAGAUUCUCACAGCAUUCAUUAAAAAACUAUUGCAUGCAACCAGCAUUACCAUCAAUAAAAACAAAUAAAGAGACACUGAGGUUUUUUCCUGUUUUAUAA